AUAAAUCAAAACUUUCAACAACGGAUCUCUACGGUUCUGGCAUCGAUGAAGAACGCAGCAAAAUGCGAUAAGUAAUGUGAAUUGCAGAAUUCAGUGAAUCAUCGAAUCUUUGAACGCACAUUGCGCCCGCCAGUAUUCUGGCGGGCAUGCCUGUUCGA
rnacentral:rRNA from 1 species